AAAAGUCGAACAGACUUAAAUUAAAGAAUUCUGCUUCUUUAAUUUUUCUUAAUUCAACAUCGAGGUCGCAAAAACUAAUAUAGAUAUGAACUCCCCAUUGAAAUUACGCUGUUAUCCCUAAGGUAACUUAAUCUUAUUAUCCAUCAUUGGGAUCAAAAUAAACACCUAUAAAUGAAAAAGAAAAUUAAAGUUAAUAAUUUAAUUACCACCCCAGCAAAAAUAAAUCAAUUAAUAAUAAAAUAUUAUAAAUAAAAACUUAUUAUAAAUUCUUAAUUAAAGUUCUAUAGGGUCUUAUCGUCCCAAGAAAAUAAUUAAGCAUUUUUACUUAAAAUUAAAAUUUUAAAAAUUAAAUAAAUAAAAUAUAAAUCUCAUACAUCCAUUCAUACCAGCUUCUAAUUAAGAAACUAAUUAUUAUGCUACCUUUGCACAGUCAAAAUACUGCAGCCAUUUAAAUUUUCAUAGGGCAGAAGAUACUUUUUACAUAAGCA
rnacentral:rRNA from 1 species